UACAGAGGGGGCAAGCGUUGUUCGGAAUUACUGGGCGUAAAGGGCGCGUAGGCGGCCUGCUAAGUCGAACGUGAAAUCCCUGGGCUCAACCCAGGAACUGCGUCCGAUACUGGUUGGCUUGAAUCCGGGAGAGGGAUGUGGAAUUCCAGGUGUAGCGGUGAAAUGCGUAGAUAUCUGGAGGAACACCGGUGGCGAAGGCGACAUCCUGGACCGGUAUUGACGCUGAGGCGCGAAAGCUAGGGGAGCGAACGGG
rnacentral:rRNA from 1 species